rnacentral:lncRNA from 1 species
CACUUAUUUUUUCAGAUUAUCUUGCUUUAAACCAGAGCUUUGCAUUAUCAGGUUGAAUAAUGUCAAUUUACACGUGUCUGAAUGUGAACCCACGAAAAGAUUUCUCUAUACUGGUUUAAUAUUCUAGAUAUGUUCAUAAAUUACAUACCUUCUGCAGGGAUAUAGAUUCUUGUUGGUAACCUUUAAGUUGUGCCUUUCUGUUUGACAUUGAAAUGACCUAUGUAUUUUGUAUUAGAAAGUAUAAAAGUGGGGGAUAAGCAUCAGCUCUCUUUCCACUACUUGUCACCUUUUUUUUUUCUUAUUUUGUGUCAUAUUUCUUAAGAUUAUGUUUGUUCAAACAAGAUUCGUGUGCUUUAUUAAUUUUGCAAAGUCUGCAUAUUUUCACAAAA